rnacentral:rRNA from 1 species
GAUGAACGCUAGCUACAGGCUUAACACAUGCAAGUCGAGGGGCAUCAUUGGGAUAGCUUGCUAUUUCAGAUGGCGACCGGCGCACGGGUGAGUAACGCGUAUCCAACCUUCCCCUUAGUAGGGCAUAGCCCGGCGAAAGUCGGAUUAAUACCCUAUGUUGUAUAUUGAGGACAUCUGAUUUAUACCAAAGAUUCAUCGCUAAGGGAUGGGGAUGCGUCCGAUUAGGUAGUCGGCGGGGUAACGGCCCACCGAGCCAUCGAUCGGUAGGGGUUCUGAGAGGAAGGUCCCCCACACUGGUACUGAGACACGGACCAGACUCCUACGGGAGGCAGCAGUGAGGAAUAUUGGUCAAUGGGCGAGAGCCUGAACCAGCCAAGUAGCGUGCAGGAAGACGGCCCUAUGGGUUGUAAACUGCUUUUAUCAGGGGAUAAAGUGAGGGACGCGUCCCUUAUUGCAGGUACCUGAUGAAUAAGGACCGGCUAAUUCCGUGCCAGCCGCCGCCGUAAGAC